GCAAGUCGAGGGGUCACAGAGUGUGCUUGACUUUGCUGACGACCAGCCCACGGGUGCGUACCGCGUAUGCAACAUACCUUCUACAGGGGGAUAGCCCAGAGAAAUUUGGAUUAAUACCCCAUACGAUCUAUAAUUGGCAUCAAUAAUAGAGGAAAACUUCGGUGGUAGAAGAUGGGCAUGCGUCCUAUUAGUUAGUUGGUGAGGUAAUGGCUCACCAAGACAUCGAUAGGUAGGGGCCCUGAGAGGGGGAUC
rnacentral:rRNA from 1 species